AGAGUUUGAUCCUGGCUCAGGAUGAACGCUAGCGGCAGGCUUAACACAUGCAAGUCGAGGGGCAGCACGGCGCAGCAAUGCGCUGGUGGCGACCGGCGCACGGGUGAGUAACGCGUAUGCAACCUGCCCCCCGCAGGGGGAUAGCCCGCCGAAAGGCGGAUUAAUACCCCAUCGCCCCCCGGUCCGGCAUCGGGCCGGGGGUAAAGGAGCGAUCCGGCGGGGGAUGGGCAUGCGUGCCAUUAGCUGGCUGGUGGGGUAACGGCCCACCAGGGCGACGAUGGCUAGGGGGCCUGAGAGGGUGGUCCCCCACACUGGUACUGAGACACGGACCAGACUCCUACGGGAGGCAGCAGUGAGGAAUAUUGGUCAAUGGGCGGAAGCCUGAACCAGCCAUGCCGCGUGCAGGAAGACGGCCCUACGGGUUGUAAACUGCUUUUCCGGGGGACGAAUAGGGCCGACGUGUCGGCCGAUGCCGGUACCCCGGGAAUAAGGAUCGGCUAACUCCGUGCCAGCAGCCGCGGUAAUACGGAGGAUCCGAGCGUUAUCCGGAUUUACUGGGUUUAAAGGGUGCGUAGGCGGGCUCCUAAGUCGGCGGUGAAAGUCUGCGGCUCAACCGUAGGAUUGCCGUUGAUACUGGGGGCCUUGGAUACGGUCGAGGCGGGUGGAAUGCGCGGUGUAGCGGUGAAAUGCUUAGAUAUCGCGCAGAACGCCGAUUGCGAAGGCAGCUCGCCAGGCCGUGAUUGACGCUGAGGCACGACAGCGUGGGGAUCGAACAGGAUUAGAUACCCUGGUAGUCCACGCCGUAAACGAUGAUGGCUGGGUGUUGGCGGUACACGGUCAGCGCCUGAGCGAAAGCAUUAAGCCAUCCACCUGGGGAGUACGGCCGCAAGGUUGAAACUCAAAGGAAUUGACGGGGGCCCGCACAAGCGGAGGAACAUGUGGUUUAAUUCGAUGAUACGCGAGGAACCUUACCCGGGCUAGAACGCCGAACGAACGGCCCCGAAAGGGGUCGGCCAGCGAUGGCGGUCGGCGAGGUGCUGCAUGGUUGUCGUCAGCUCGUGCCGUGAGGUGUCGGGUUAAGUCCCAUAACGAGCGCAACCCCUACCGCCAGUUGCCAGCGGGCAAUGCCGGGGACUCUGGCGGAACUGCCGGCGUAAGCCGCGAGGAAGGCGGGGAUGACGUCAAAUCAGCACGGCCCUUACGUCCGGGGCUACACACGUGUUACAAUGGCCGGUACAGAGGGCAGCCACCCCGCGAGGGGGCGCUAAUCUCGAAAGCCGGUCCCAGUUCGGAUCGGGGUCUGCAACCCGACCCCGUGAAGUUGGAUUCGCUAGUAAUCGCGCAUCAGCAACGGCGCGGUGAAUACGUUCCCGGGCCUUGUACACACCGCCCGUCAAGCCAUGGGAGCUGGGGGUACCUGAAGUCCGUGACCGCGAGGAGCGGCCUAGGGUAAAACCGGUGACUGGGGCUAAGUCGUAACAAGGUAGCC
rnacentral:rRNA from 1 species